CCUACGGGAGGCUGCAGUGGGGAAUAUUGGACAAUGGGCGAAAGCCUGAUCCAGCCAUGCCGCGUGUGUGAAGAAGGCCUUCGGGUUGUAAAGCACUUUCAGUGGGGAAGAAAGCCUUGGGGCUAAUACCCUCGAGGAAGGACAUCACCCACAGAAGAAGCACCGGCUAACUCCGUGCCAGCAGCCGCGGUAAUACGGAGGGUGCGAGCGUUAAUCGGAAUUACUGGGCGUAAAGCGUGCGUAGGCGGUCUGAUAAGCCGGUUGUGAAAGCCCCGGGCUCAACCUGGGAACGGCAUCCGGAACUGUCAGGCUAGAGUGCAGGAGAGGAAGGUAGAAUUCCCGGUGUAGCGGUGAAAUGCGUAGAGAUCGGGAGGAAUACCAGUGGCGAAGGCGGCCUUCUGGACUGACACUGACGCUGAGGUGCGAAAGCGUGGGUAGCAAACAGGAUUAGAUACCCUGGUAGUC
rnacentral:rRNA from 1 species